GAUGAACGCUAGCGGCAGGCCUAACACAUGCAAGUCGAGGGAGAAGCCCUUUCGGGGGCAGACACCGGCGCACGGGUGCGUAACGCGUAUGCAACCUACCUUUCACAGGGGGAUAGCCCGAAGAAAUUUGGAUUAAUACCCCAUAAUAUUAUUGGAUGGCAUCAUUUGAUAAUUAAAACUGCGGUGGUGCAAGAUGGGCAUGCGUCCUAUUAGCUAGUUGGAGUGGUAACGGCACCCCAAGGCUACGAUAGGUAGGGGUCCUGAGAGGGAGAUCCCCCACACUAGUACUGAGACAGGGACAAGACGCCUACGGGAGGCAGCAGUGAGGAAUAUUGGUAAAUGGUCGGAAGACUGAACCAGCCAUGCCGCGUGCAGGAAGAAUGCCUUAUGGGUUGUAAACUGCUGUUAUAUGGGAAGAAUAAGGCGUACGUGUACGUUGAUGACGGUACCAGAUGAAUAAGCAUCGGCUAACUCCGUG
rnacentral:rRNA from 1 species